ACGACGGAUGAUUAAAUUACAAUGUUUCAUAAGUAACACAGUUCUUUACAAUUUCUUAAAUAUGCGGAAGAAAUAUAUAUUACAUAGUCAAAAUACACGCAACCACUCACAUAUUUUCUAUUCUUUUUGUGUUAUUCUAGUGAAGACCAAAAGCAAGAACAUAUAUUAACAGUGUUGUAGCACAAUGGAAAUAUUAAGUCUACACCUACUCUUUUUGUUGUCAUGUUGCUACUCUGUACAUGGAAAACCUGAAGGAGCAUUACCAGGAGCAUGUGAUACUAUGGAACCAGGACAUUCGGUUACCGCUCAGAACAGUCCAGCCCCAUUUCAAAUAACUCUAGAUAAGACUAGCUACGGAGGAAGUGAUGUAAUAGCAGUAACCUUAUCGAAUACCUCAACAAACCAGUUCAAAGGAUAUUUAAUUCAAGCAAGAAACCAGGAUGGAACAAAAAUUCCAGGCUUCAAACUGAUACAGAACUCUAAAUUUCUGCAAUGUAAUAAUACAAAUGAUGCCAUAACACACACAGAAGCUUCGGAAAAAGACAGUGUUACUUUUAAAUUUACCGCUCCAGCCAAAUCUCGAGGGAAUAUAACAAUUUUCGCGACAGUUGUAGAAAAGACCGAUACUUUCUGGGUAAAGAUUCCGUCGGAAACUAUUAUUGACAUGGCAACUACCGAUGCUACCUCUACGAUCUUGUCAAAUGUUGUUGUAGUUACUUUUGCUGUCCUCUGCAUAUAUCUUUCUUAACACUAAACAAAUGCCAUACAAUUUUUUUCCUGAUGAUAGUACAGCAGUCACUUAAAAAAAUCAUAAGAUAGGGACAUUAACAAUAGUUUAUGAGAAGAAAAACGAAAUUUUCCACUAUUUAAAACAACCUUUAGAUAAAUUUGUCAUGAUCGACUCAUCAAAUAUGAUAAUGUUCAUUGUCAUAGAAACUUGGGUUUUUGUCAUGAAAAUGUACUUUCAAGUCAAUUUGAUGAAACUGCUAAUAUAAAUUGUAUUACAUGUACUUAUAAUUUUUGUUUUUUUGUACCUGUGUUUUUCUUAACUAUUAUAUCUAUAUUAUAUUUAACAGUUAUAUGCUU